rnacentral:rRNA from 1 species
GAUGAACGCUGGCGGCGUGCCUAAUACAUGCAAGUCGAGCGAACAGACGAGGAGCUUGCUCCUCUGACGUUAGCGGCGGACGGGUGAGUAACACGUGGAUAACCUACCUAUAAGACUGGGAUAACUUCGGGAAACCGGAGCUAAUACCGGAUAGCAUGUUGAACCGCAUGGUUUAACAGUGAAAGACGGUCUUGCUGUCACUUAUAGAUGGAUCCGCGCCGCAUUAGCUAGUUGGUAAGGUAACGGCUUACCAAGGCAACGAUGCGUAGCCGACCUGAGAGGGUGAUCGGCCACACUGGAACUGAGACACGGUCCAGACUCCUACGGGAGGCAGCAGUAGGGAAUCUUCCGCAAUGGGCGAAAGCCUGACGGAGCAACGCCGCGUGAGUGAAGAAGGUCUUCGGAUCGUAAAACUCUGUUAUUAGGGAAGAACAAAUGUGUAAGUAACUAUGCACGUCUUGACGGUACCUAAUCAGAAAGCCACGGCUAACUACGUG